AUACGGAGGAUCCGAGCGUUAUCCGGAUUAAUUGGGUUUAAAGGGUGCGCAGGCGGCCAUUUAAGUCAGCGGUUAAAUCGUGGGGCUCAACCCCAUUCUGCCGUUGAUACUGGGUGGCUUGAUUGCGGUCGAGGUUGGCGGAAUUCGUUGUGUAGCGGUGAAAUGCAUAGAUAUGACGAAGAACACCGAUUGCGUAGGCAGCUGACCAGACCGCAAAUGACGCUCAUGCACGAAAGUGCGGGGAUCGAACAGGAUUAGAUACCCUGGUAGUCCGCACAGUAAACGAUGAAUACUUGUUUUCGGCGAUAUAAUGUCGGAGGCAAAGCGAAAGCGAUAAGUAUUCCACCUGGGGAGUACGCCGGCAACGGUGAAACUCAAAUGAAUUGACGGGG
rnacentral:rRNA from 1 species